rnacentral:rRNA from 1 species
UGGGGGAUAUUGCACAAUGGGCGAAAGCCUGAUGCAGCGACGCCGCGUGGGGGAUGAAGGCUUUCGGGUUGUAAACCUCUUUCGCUAUCGAACAAGGCCCGCUUAGGGUGGGUUGAGGGUAGGUGGAGAAGAAGCGCCGGCUAACUACGUGCCAGCAGCCGCGGUAAUACGUAGGGCGCGAGCGUUGUCCGAAUUAUUGGGCGUAAAGGGCUUGUAGGCGGCUUGUUGCGCCUGCUGUGAAAACGCGGGGCUUAACUUCGCGCGUGCAGUGGGUACGGGCAGGCUUGAGUGUGGUAGGGGUGACUGGAAUUCCAGGUGUAGCGGUGGAAUGCGCAGAUAUCUGGAGGAACACCGAUGGCGAAGGCAGGUCACUGGGCCAUUACUGACGCUGAGGAGCGAAAGCAUGGGUAGCGAACAGG